CGCCUCUUGUUAAGUUAUAAGAGGUCCAGCCUGCCCAAUGACUUCUUAAAUGGCCGCGGUAUCCUAACCGUGCUAAGGUAGCACAAUAACUUGUUCUUUAAAUGGGGACUUGUAUGAAUGGCAUCACGAGGAUUUCACUGUCUCCUCCCCCCAAUCAGUGAAACUGACCCCCCUGUGAAAAGGCAGGGAUUAUACUAUAAGACGAGAAGACCCCAUGGAGCUUCAGACUCAGGGCACAUCUAACUCCCACUUCACUUAAAACCUUAAAUCACUGACCUUUAGUCUUGGGUUGGGGCGACCAUGGAGUAAAACUAAACCUCCAUGCUGAAUGGAUAAAUCCUAAUCUAGGAGUUACAACUCUCAGAAUCAAAAAACUGACAACCACUGAUCCGAAAUUCGAUCAACGAACCAAGUUACCCUGGGGAUAACAGCGCUAUCUACCUUGAGAGUUCAUAUCGACAGGUGGGUUUACGACCUCGAUGUUGGAUCAGGGUAUCCCUGUGGUGCAGCCGCUACAUAAGGUUCGUUUGUUCAACGAUUAAAACCCC
rnacentral:rRNA from 1 species